UUUUGUCUCUUAGCCAAGAAAUAGUUUUUCUCCUGGUGCGCCUGUCAACUUAUACAACACAAGUAGAUGUACACAAAGAGAACCCAGAAAUAAUGCCACCCCCACAUCGUCAUCUCGAUUUAUAUCCCAUACAGGAGCAUGUACUGGUUCACCAUCUGUGAAUAAUAAUAUUCGAUUAAAACUUACAGACUGCCUGAAUCAAAAUGUAAUUUCGAACAAUGUGAAUCAACCUAUUAAACUACAAAUUAAUCAGAAGAAAUCGUCCGAUAGACAACCUCUAGUCAUCCCAACCAGUUAUCAAUCUAUGACUCAACCAAUCAGUUGUAGAUCUUUA